AAAUAAAGAGUUAGACCUGCCCGGUGUUAAUAAAGUAAACGGUUGCAACUUAGUUGUACUAAGGUAGCGUGAUAAGUUGUCUCUUAAUUAGAGAAUGGUAUGAAGGGUUUAAUGUAUAACCACUUUCUUUUUAAUAGUUGUUUAAGUUUCCAUUUAAGUGAAAAGGCUUAAGUUUUUGAAAAAGACGAGAAGACCCUGUCGAGCUUAAUUAGUAUUUAUUAAGUUAAUAUAUAUUUAUAUAAAAUUUUAUUGGGGCAAUAUUUUUUAAUAUAACAUUUUAUAAAAGAGUAGAUCCUUUUUGAGAGAAUGUUGAAAAAGCUACCGCAGGGAUAACAGCGUUAUUUUUUCUAAGAGAUCUUAUUGAAGGAAAAGUUUGCGACCUCGAUGUUGAAUUAUAAUACUACAUGGUGCAGCAGCUAUGUUAUGUGGGACUGUUCGNCCUUUAAUAU
rnacentral:rRNA from 1 species